UCUUCCGAUCUACCUCAAACACCCCUCCCUCCGGUGAAUACCUGCUAACAACCUGAAACAAAUCCGACCACCACCAACUCUUGGUGGCAGCGGAGAACAUCAGCAGCAACAACGCCACCACCGCCGUCUUCAUCUCUUCUGAUCUAACUCUUGGUGGGUGACUAUUCACGCAAGAUCUGACAAGGAAAAUGGGGGAGAUGAUUUUGGGCGACAGUGGUGGUGUUUAGUUAGCACUGUUCUGAGACAUUUUGGGUCCUGGUGCGAAUGGAGCAAAAACGAGUAAUAUGAAAAUAACCAGCCAGUUGAACAGAGUGAGGCACCAAUAACUGAAUUAAAAUUGCCACUGAGUGAGUUGAGGCCACUAUCUCUAUUUUCUGAGUGAGAGGGCUGCCAUCUAAUUGUCUUGAUUUGGAGUUCCCUUCACAGGAAACGAAAGUCAUUUAUAAAUUAUUUCAUAUUGCAUUCAAGUGUUUUUUUUAAAUCAAGUUAGUGAAUUCCAAGUUGCCACAUGUGGGCCGCCAAGGACAACCAGUCCAGCAUGCGCAAAUAAUAAUUUUGGGCCAUAGAAUAAUAAUUACUAAAUGAUAGAUUUGAUUUAUUAUUGAAGAAGAUAUAUCUUUCGGGGGAUCCAUAUUAUAUACGGCGCACGAACAUCAGACGACUUCGAAAGGGGGAAAUCGGAGACAUCAACUGUAGACGUGAUCAAAGGGACGAAAUUAAGGAUUUAUUGGUUCAAGGGUUCAAGCCACGAUCAAGAUUCACGUCCGGGUUUGCAAUUUAUUAGUGUUCAAUUUUUAAUAACUUUGUGUUUUUAAACUUGAUUACUAUGGAUUGUUUAUUAUUCAA